rnacentral:tRNA from 1 species
GGGCUCAUGGUUUAGAUGGUUAGAACGUCGCCUUCACGAGGCGAAGGUCGCCGGUUCAAAUCCGGCUGGGCCCA